rnacentral:rRNA from 1 species
AUUGAACGCUGGCGGCAGGCCUAACACAUGCAAGUCGAGCGGUAACACAGGGAGCUUGCUCCUGGGUGACGAGCGGCGGACGGGUGAGUAAUGUCUGGGAAACUGCCUGAUGGAGGGGGAUAACUACUGGAAACGGUAGCUAAUACCGCAUAACGUCGCAAGACCAAAGAGGGGGACCUUCGGGCCUCUUGCCAUCAGAUGUGCCCAGAUGGGAUUAGCUAGUAGGUGGGGUAACGGCUCACCUAGGCGACGAUCCCUAGCUGGUCUGAGAGGAUGACCGGCCACAAUGGAACUGCGGCGCGGUCCAGACUCCUACGGGAGGCAGCAGUGGGGAAUAUUGCACAAUGGGCGCAAGCCUGAUGCAGCCAUGCCGCGUGUAUGAAGAAGGCCUUCGGGUUGUAAAGUACUUUCAGCGGGGAGGAAGGCGUUGUGGUUAAUAACCACAGCGAUUGACGUUACCCGCAGAAGAAGCACCGGCUAACUCCGUGCCAGCCGCCGCAGUAA